rnacentral:rRNA from 1 species
UACAGAGGGUGCAAGCGUUAAUCGGAAUUAUUGGGCGUAAAGCGCACGUAGGUGGAUUGAUAAGUUGGAUGUGAAAGCCCUGGGCUCAACCUGGGAAUUGCAUUCAAGACUGUCAGUCUAGAGUAUGGGAGAGGGAAGUGGAAUUUCUGGUGUAGCGGUGAAAUGCGUAGAUAUCAGAAGGAACAUCAGUGGCGAAGGCGACUUCCUGGCCUAAUACUGACACUAAGGUGCGAAAGCGUGGGGAGCAAAC